rnacentral:rRNA from 1 species
GACGGAGGGUGCAAGCGUUGUUCGGAUUGACUGGGCGUAAAGGGCGUGUAGGCGGUCGGCCAAGUCUGAUGUGAAAGCCCGAGGCUCAGCCUCGGAAGUGCGUCAGAAACUAGUCGGCUGGAGCGCGAUAGAGGAGGGUGGAAUUCCUGGUGUAGCGGUGAAAUGCGUAGAUAUCAGGAGGAACACCGAUGGCGAAGGCAGGUCUCUGGGCAUUAACUGACGCUGAGGAGCGAAAGCAUGGGGAGCGAACAGG